rnacentral:rRNA from 1 species
UACGUAGGGUGCGAGCGUUGUCCGGAAUUAUUGGGCGUAAAGGGCUCGUAGGCGGUCUGUUGCGUCAGGAGUGAAAACUCGGGGCUUAACCCCGAGCCUGCUUCUGAUACGGGCAGACUAGAGGUAUGCAGGGGAGAACGGAAUUCCUGGUGUAGCGGUGAAAUGCGCAGAUAUCAGGAGGAACACCGGUGGCGAAGGCGGCACUCUGGGCCGGUACUGACGCUGAGGAGCGAAAGCGUGGGGAGCGAACAGG